rnacentral:rRNA from 1 species
GGGACGAACGCUGGCGGCGUGCUUAACACAUGCAAGUCGAGCGGAAAGGCCCUUCGGGGUACUCGAGCGGCGAACGGGUGAGUAACACGUGAGUAAUCUGCCCUUAGCUCUGGGAUAGCUCCGGGAAACCGGGAUUAAAUACCAGAUAUGACCACACUAGACAUCUGGUGUGGUGGAAAGGAUUCCGGCUAGGGAUGAGCUCGCGGCCUAUCAGCUUGUUGGUGGGGUAACGGCCUACCAAGGCGACGACGGGUA